rnacentral:rRNA from 1 species
ACAUGAAGCUGGAAUCGCUAGUAAUCGCGGAUCAGAAUGCCGCGGUGAAUACGUUCCCGGGUCUUGUACACACCGCCCGUCACACCAUGGGAGUCGGAAAUGCCCGAAGUCUGUGACCUAACCGCAGGGGGGAGGAGCAGCCGAAGGCAGGUCGGAUGACUGGGGUGAAGUCGUAACAAGGUAAC